rnacentral:rRNA from 1 species
UCCAGACUCCUACGGGAGGCAGCAGUGGGGGAUAUUGCACAAUGGGGGGAACCCUGAUGCAGCGACGCCGCGUGGGUGAAGGAGCGUUUCGGCGCGUAAAGCCCUAUCGGCAGGGAAGAAGGAGGACGGUACCUGACUAAGAAGCCCCGGCUAACUACGUGCCAGCAGCCGCGGUAAUACGUAGGGGGCAAGCGUUAUCCGGAUUUACUGGGUGUAAAGGGGGCGCAGACGGCAGCGCAAGCCAGGAGUGAAAGCCCGGGGCCCAACCCCGGGACUGCUCUUGGAACUGCGCGGCUGGAGUGCAGGAGGGGCAGGCGGAAUUCCUGGUGUAGCGGUGAAAUGCGUAGAUAUCAGGAGGAACACCGGUGGCGAAGGCGGCCUGCUGGACUGCGACUGACGUUGAGGCCCGAAAGCGUGGGGAGCAAACAGGAUUAGAUACCCGAGUAAG